rnacentral:misc_RNA from 1 species
GAUGAAGAACGCAGCGAAAUGCGAUAAGUAGUGUGAAUUGCAGAAUUCAGUGAAUCAUCGAAUCUUUGAACGCACAUUGCGCCCCAUGGUAUUCCGUGGGGCAUGCCUGUUCGAGCGUCAUUUACCCCCUCAAGCUCCGCUUGGUGUUGGGCGUCUGUCCCGCUUCGCGCGCGGACUCGCCCCAAAGGUAUUGGCAGCGGUCGUGCCGGCUUCUCGCGCAGCACAUUGCGCUUCUCGAGGCACCGGUGGGCCCGCGUCCAUCAAGCUCACCCCCCCAGUUUGACCUCGGAUCAGGUAGGGAUACCCGCUGAACUUAAGCAUAUCAAUGCGGAGGA